GGAAUCUCGGAUAAUAAACCUACUCCACUAUAUUUUGCCUCCAUUCCUCACACCGCCAUCAAGACUGAUUAUAAGAAAAUUAGAGGGGUGGAGGUUUCCAAGUGCAAUGAACUACAUGGGACGUAGAAACUGCUGAAGUGGGAUUAGAUUUUUCUAACUUCCAACAGCCCCUUUGAUGUUUUUGCCUACAUGAAGUUCGAGGCAUGGUGCAUGCAAAGCUCUCGAGACGGACUAAUGGGCUCUCAUUAAUAUUCUUAAAUGAAUAUUUGUUUCUGGCCAACC
rnacentral:lncRNA from 1 species